AUUGAACGCUGGCGGCGUGCCUAACACAUGCAAGUCGAGCGGUAAGGCCCUUUCGGGGGUACACGAGCGGCGAACGGGUGAGUAACACGUGGGUGACCUGCCCUCAGCUCUGGGAUAAGCCUGGGAAACUGGGUCUAAUACCGGAUAUGACUCCAUGACGCAUGUUGUGGGGUGGAAAGCCUUGUGCGGCUGAGGAUGGGCCCGCGGCCUAUCAGCUUGUUGGUGGGGUGAUGGCCUACCAAGGCGA
rnacentral:rRNA from 1 species